rnacentral:rRNA from 1 species
GAUUAGAGUUUGAUCCUGGCUCAGAUUGAACGCUGGCGGCAUGCUUUACACAUGCAAGUCGAACGGUAACAGGGAGCUUGCUCCGCUGGCGAGUGGCGAACGGGUGAGUAAUGCAUCGGAACGUCCCGUGUAGUGGGGGAUAACGUAGCGAAAGUUACGCUAAUACCGCAUACGCCCCGAGGGGGAAAGUGGGGGACCGCAAGGCCUCACGCUAUACGAGCGGCCGAUGUCGGAUUAGCUAGUUGGUAGGGUAAAGGCCUACCAAGGCGACGAUCCGUAGCGGGUCUGAGAGGAUGAUCCGCCACACUGGGACUGAGACACGGCCCAGACUCCUACGGGAGGCAGCAGUGGGGAAUUUUGGACAAUGGGCGCAAGCCUGAUCCAGCCAUGCCGCGUGAGUGAAGAAGGCCUUCGGGUUGUAAAGCUCUUUCAGACGGAAAGAAAUCGGUGCGUUUAAUACAUGCACUGGAUGACGGUACCGAAGAAGAGC